GAAGAAACUAAAGAAGAACAGCAUCAAACCAGACUCGCUCAGAAACGAGUUUGCUUAAUUUAAUUACGAGACGAACACGUGUACAGUAACAGUAAAACCAAUCUGCAGUGAUUCCUAGAAAAAGGUUCCGUAGGUACUGAGGUUGCCUAUAACUUGCAUUGAACAAACCUGUCCACAAUGAUCUUUAUUCAUAUACCAAUUCAACUCUCAGACCCUUGAAAGAGUGCACGUAGAAUUUCAGGGAAACUGCCGUUCAUUUAGAGCUUUCAUCAAUCUUAGUUUGAAGCUUGUGUA
rnacentral:lncRNA from 1 species